AAAAUCUAAUUAUGAAAAUAUAAUUUCAUCAUGCAGCCACCAUGCUAUUGUCUUCUCUGUUCUACCAUAAGACCCUUGAACACAACUUAAAUUGGUGUCAAAUAUUCUGUAGACCUUAAAAAAAUUUGCUCUUCCUAAAUGAAUUUUUAGAUAACUAUUUUUCAGAAUAUAUAAAUUAAUCACAUUUGAACAAGCCAACAGAUUGCAGCUUAAAGAGCAUACUUUACCUGACAUUACCAUAAAUGUACUAGAGGUUGGCCCGCGCGUUCCUGCAGCUCACUUAUUUUUGGCUUUUAUUUAUAAAUUGAAUUUUUUAGUAUCUUUAAAACCAACUGAAUGUACAAUAAAUAGAGCAACUCAUAAUUGACAGAGUUAUGCCUUUUAUAUAUUUAGCAGCCUCUUCUAAGCUACCAUAUCUGACAAAACCAACCCACUUAGCUUCCUGACGCCUUAUCAGUCACCACUCUAGCUGUAAAAAGCAACAUGAAAAUUAAUGAUAAUUUUCAGAGAGGCAAUUUGUUGAACAUUUAAGGAUAUGAAGCAUAAACCAUGAACCUUUACCACUUCCAUCUCAAGGAAAAACAGUACCAACAAAAAUCAAUAAAUUAAACUUUCAUAUCCAAUAGAUGAAGUUCAUAUGCUCACCAGCAAAAAUAAAAUUUAAUGGAAUAUUGCCGCUUCACAACAUUACACACCAGAGAUCACUUCAAGAUUACAGUAUAAGACAACAUACCUUGCCAUGAUCACCUUUUUGAUGUUUGCCACUAUGCUUAUCCUUUGAUUUCUUAUCUGAGGCGAUAAUAGCGAGUCAAUAUGAUAGAAUUAUUUCAUGAAAAUCCACGUCCCUAAUUGGGUAAGUAAUGAUCAGCGAUUAGAGAAGAUCAAUGAUACAGCUUGUAAACAGAUAAAUAUAAUGCACUUCAAACAAUAAUUAUACCAAUGGCAAUUCCUUUUCCUUCUAUAGCCAGAUCAUAAGUGCAAAAAACUUCAUAGUGGGACAUGAUAGAAACCCAAUAACCAGAAAAAAGAAAAGGUGAAAAAUUAACUUUCUGGAAUUGAAAAGGGAAUCCGAAUUGAGAACAAUUCUAGGAAGUAGGAAGCAACGGUAACAAGAAAGCAAAGAUAAAUUUACAAAUUGAAGAAUGUGGAUGUUAGAGUGAAAAAUACCAUAUAGGAAAAACACAUAAGAGAUGAAUUUGGAAUGCGGUUGAAUAGACAGAACACAUACAAUUCAAGCGUCAUCUUAAUCUUAAAUGUUAAUAAGAGUAAAAUAGUAGUCAGUAGUGAAUAGAAGCAGACCUAAUAAAUCAAACCUAUACCUUUAUCAGAGCGGUGCUUGUGAGACUUCUUGUACCUUCGCUUCUCUUUCUUAUCACUCUUGCUGCUUCUCCUUUCCCGUUCUUCUUCCCUUCUAUGCCGUUUUCUGUGUUUUCCUUCAUCUUCGGAGGCAGAAGAAGAGGGGCUUCUCUUCCUGGUUUUCUUCUUCUCCUGGUCCUUGGAUUUGCGGUCGCUUCCCAUUCUCCGAUUGAUAUUUGUUAAUGACAAUUGAAUUGUGUAUGCAUCGAUUUGUAAUCUUUACGAGUUCUCGAC
rnacentral:misc_RNA from 1 species